AUGUUUCCGACGCCGCACCUGCUGUGGGCUCUGCUGCUCCGUGUGACAGGUACUUUGGCUGUUCCGGUUCUCAGUCAGAGUCCGGUGUCCGACCCACUCUCCGCCGGUCAGACGGCCCAAUUCAAGUGUGCUAUACAGAACGGUGAUGUGGGCAGCUGCCAGGUGCAUUGGUACAGUCAGACUCCCGGAGAAGCCCCGGUGUGGGUGAUCAUGCAAGUGACAAUAACAUUUUUAGAGGCACCGGUUUCACAGACGAUUUCCAACCUUGGGGGGGGGGGGGUCUUGUCAUUAAAGGUGAAGUGGGUAGAAAGCCACAGCUUUACGAGCUUGAUGAUGCUUUUCUUGCUGAUGAAGUUGGUGCUGGCUGGUGGUUGUGUCCUUCUAGUAGCGUGCCUCCUGAGGAAGUAGAGGUGUUCUUGGGUUUGCUUGACUGUGACGUCAACAUGAGUGGACGAGGGCAGAUUGUUGGUGACCACCAUUCCUCAGAACUUGACGCUCUGAACGAUCGCCAAAUCAGCAUCACUAACGUGGAAGGAUAA